GCCGGGCAUGGUGGCUCACGCCUGUAAUCCCAGCGCUUUGGGAGGCUGAGGCGGGUGGAUCACCUGAGGUCGGGAGUUCGAGACCAGCCUGGCCAACAUGGUGAAACCCCGUCUCUA
ensembl:misc_RNA Metazoa_SRP Metazoan signal recognition particle RNA